rnacentral:rRNA from 1 species
AGUGAACGCUGGCGGUAGGCCUAACACAUGCAAGUCGAACGGCAGCACAGUAAGGGCUUGCUCUUACGGGUGGCGAGUGGCGGACGGGUGAGGAAUACAUCGGAAUCUACUUUUUCGUGGGGGAUAACGUAGGGAAACUUACGCUAAUACCGCAUACGACCUACGGGUGAAAGCAGGGGAUCUUCGGACCUUGCGCGAUUGAAUGAGCCGAUGUCGGAUUAGCUAGUUGGCGGGGUAAAGGCCCACCAAGGCGACGAUCCGUAGCUGGUCUGAGAGGAUGAUCAGCCACACUGGAACUGAGACACGGUCCAGACUCCUACGGGAGGCAGCAGUGGGGAAUAUUGGACGAUGGGCGCAAGCCUGAUCCAGCCAUACCGCGUGGGUGAAGAAGGCCUUCGGGUUGUAAAGCCCUUUUGUUGGGAAAGAAAAGCAGCAGGUUAAUACCCCGCUGUUCUGACGGUACCCAAAGAAUAAGCACCGGCUAACUUCGUG